AAUGAGCAAAGGAGAAACCGGUAAAAUCCCAUAGAAAUUCUGUGCACGGGAGUCCGGAUGAAGACGCAGGACGUCAGAACAUCGUAACAAGCUUUGGGAACAUGGACUGAUUGUACAACGACCACCGUUGGACUUAAAAAUUCAUAAUCUUAAACCUGGGGACUGGGUAUUGGUUAAAACGUGGAAAGAAGAAACCCUAAAACCCAAUUGGGAGGGACCUUAUCUUGUUCUGCUUACAACAGAAACGGCUGUCCGGACUGCUGAGCGUGGAUGGACUCAUGCCAGUCGCAUUAAAGGCCCAGUGACGAGACCCCACUGGAAAGUAAUCAGUACUCCAGUUAAAGCUGCAAAGUGGGAAGCCUAUGUAAACAGGCAGAAAGCCCGAAGCAGCUGUUCUCCUGAAGAAUUCCCUUGCUGCCGAGAAGAUGGUACACCCCGUGGCUCGAAGCAACCGAGUCGACGGGCAAGGCAGAGGAGGAACAAACUGUGGAGAACAGAACCAGAACAAUGGGACACUAAAGCAACAAUGGCCGAACUUCCCCAGGACUGGUAAAAAUAUACUUAAAUUAGCAAAAUUGACAGACACCCUUUUUCCUGGUAUACCGUUAGUUUUGUUAUUGAUAAUAACCCAAGCAAAUGGAAACCCUCAUGAACCUUUUAAAUGGACCUUAAUCAGGUGGGAAGGACAAGUAACCAUUCAGACUCAAGUUACUCCAGGAGCCCCUAGUUUUCUCUGUGCGCUGUGUGAUCUCAUACCGGUAAAACCCUGCCUGAACAAACAUGGAUUUUAUUUUUGCCCUAGUUCGAACCAUGAGAAAGGAUACUGUAAUUACCCAGGACAUUAUUAUUGUGCCUACUGGGGUUGUGAAACAGUAGCCUCAGACUGG